rnacentral:rRNA from 1 species
GAUGAACGCUGGCGGCGUGCUUAACACAUGCAAGUCGAACGGAGCUAUGACACGGAGUCUUCGGAUGAAGUGCUGUAGCUUAGUGGCGGACGGGUGAGUAACACGUGAGCAACCUACCUUUUGCAGGGGAAUAACUCUGGGAAACCAGAGCUAAUACCGCAUGCCGUGCGCUUGGGGCAUCCCAGGUGCAUGAAAGGAGCAAUCCGGCAGAAGAUGGGCUCGCGUCCGAUUAGGUAGUUGGAGAGGUAAUGGCUCCCCAAGCCGACGAUCGGUAGCCGGACUGAGAGGUCGAUCGGCCACAUUGGGACUGAGACACGGCCCAGACUCCUACGGGAGGCAGCAGUGGGGAAUAUUGGGCAAUGGGCGGAAGCCUGACCCAGCGACGCCGCGUGAAGGAGGAAGGCUUUCGAGUUGUAAACUUCUUUGGGGAGGGACGAAGAUGACGGUACCUCCAGAACAAGCCACGGCUAACUACGUG